GAUGAAGAACGUAGCGAACGUGCGAAACGUAAUGUGAAUUGCAGAAUUCAGUGAAUCAUCGAAUCUUUGAACGCACCUUGCACCCUUUGGUAUUCCGAAGGGUAUGCUCGUUUGAGUGUCAUUGUACUCUCACACUUCUAAUUCCUUUCGGGAUUGGGAGCGGUGGACUUGGGUGUUGCUGCUUUAGUUGUGGCUCACCUCAAAUAAGUUAGUGCAACUCUUGGUUGGACAUAGUACGGCGUGAUAAGUGUCUUCGCCGGCGCCUCUGUAAGGAGGGUGGCCGAUCGGGAGCUCUGUGCUUCAAACCGUCUUCGGACAAUCUUUGACAACUUGACCUCAAAUCGAGUAGGACUACCCGCUGAACUUAAGCAUAUCAAUAAGCGGAGGA
rnacentral:misc_RNA from 1 species